rnacentral:rRNA from 1 species
UACAUAGGAUGCAAGCGUUGUCCGGAAUUAUUGGGCGUAAAGAGCGCGCAGGCGGUCAUUCAAGUCAGAUGUGAAAUAUCCGGGCUUAACCUGGAGGGGUCAUUUGAAACUGGGUGACUAGAGUACAGCAGAGGAUAGCGGAAUUCCCGGUGUAGUGGUGAAAUGCGUAGAUAUCGGGAGGAACACCGGUGGCGAAGGCGGCGACCUGGGUAGAUACGUGACGCUGAGGUGCGAAAGCGUGGGGAGCAAACAGG